GUCUAGAUGUCAUGUGUAUGAUUGAGUAUACGAA
rnacentral:sRNA from 1 species